AGUGGGGUCUUUAUGGUUCUUUACCCAUUUGAUGAAAAAGAAGAGUUUUUCAUAUUUUUCUACAACUUCAAAGACAGUGAGCUUGUGUGCGUGGGCGAGCGUGUAUAGUAACAACUUUAAUGGCAUAAGCCGUAAAUAGGUAUGGGAGAAUCAUAUACAAAUGAAUGAGGAAAAGAAAGAGACCAAAGAAAUGAGGAAACAACAACGGAAUAAAGACACCAGGCAUAAGAAAGAGAAAACAAACGAUGAUAAAAACACCGUUUCUACGACCAUGAGCACGAUGGAAGGCAUGCAACAUGCUUAGGUUGUUUUGUUGAACUUUUCAUCUUCAUUUCUUUUAGAUGCCUUUUGCACUUCUAAUCCUGAGGUUAAUUUUUUAUGAGUUUGUUAUGACUCAGUAUUAUUAUUCAACUCAUGCAUUUAAACUUCUUGUUGCAUUUCUUUGUGUGAAGAUUGAUGGACAUAUUUUAGGAAGUAUAUUAAGCUAAGGGGAAAUCGAAGUAUGAGUCUGCUGGGAUAUGGCACCUCAUUGAUGACAUGGUUCUUUAUGCUCUUAAGAGCGAAGGAUGUUAUGUAUGGGCAUGCAAAAACUAUGACGGGAUGUACAGGGUGAUAUCUUGCCACAAGGUUUGUGUGUAAGACUUUAGAGGACCUCGGCGUCAACAUGCAAUUGCGCAGAUUAUUGUAAUCUAUGUUGCUUAGUUUGACGACCAGGACUGGAUGUGCUACCAAUUGAAGUGUUACUCUUUUAAACUUUAGUGCUGUAUUUGAUCUCAAAUUUCUAGCUGCACUCUUGCAGGGUUUGGAUCUCUUGAUCUGAUGAUAUUUCCUGGUGUGUUUCUUUUUCAACCGACGCCUAUAUCCAGUUCUAAACAAAAUGAAUGAUGGUCCAAACAAGAUAGCUUCCUGUUAUGGAGAUAUUCAACGAAUAGUUACUUGAACAUCUAUUUAGUGAAGUUUUAUAGUCUUGAAUGUGUUGGUGGGAGAGAAGUUUCACGCACUUAAACACAUAAAUAUUUCACACUUCCACAUAAAAGAAAUUACAAAGCUUUUGGAAAGAAAAAAAAAAUUACCCCUCACUGAUUUUUCCUAUUCUCACAAACAAACCCACACAAUACAAAGACACAAAUACAUGCAUUAUAUGAACUCCAAUUUGCAUCUACUUCAACAGCAACAUAAACACCUCCUUAGUAGGUUUAUCAUCAAAUGCAAUUCUUUUGGGGCACCUUGGGCCACUCUCUAACCACCAAUAAUGCCACCUUUUUUUAUUUUUCAGAAUAAUAAUGCCCCUCAAUAAUUCGAUUUUUGGCUUUUGCCUCUAAAAUCAAGUUUACCUCUCGACAGAAUGCAUGCCCUGUUAGUUUUUUCCUUUUGGAUUGGCGAAAGUCCGUAAUGUUGGAAUAGUUAGAUAGCACCUUAGAUGAGUUGAACUCCUAACCUAAGUGCACUUCCGAUGCUGUUGGACCAAAAUCCUCUUGGCAUGCAUGCUAUAGUAGUUAGACAUCUGUUUUGUGGAAGUUAUGUUUCUGAUGGACAUAAGCUUAACAAUCAUGAAUUGAAAUGAGAAUUUGAGAUUUUAUGUAAAUGUGCCUUUGAUUUGGUGUGCGGAAAUGGAAAAUGGUAUGAGAUUGAUCCCUACAUAUGUAGUUGAAUACUCACCCAUCAAGUAUAUCACUAGUUUGGUUAUGAAAUGCUCUACAUAAUCCCGUAAGCAUAGGUUUACCCAACAUGGGACACUAAUAACUCCAACACUUGGACAUGUACCACUUUAGACAUGUAUUGCUCCUAUCACCUGUACUUUGGUCUAUGUAAAAUAGUUUGGUUCAUGACGAAUGUUGAUGUGUUGGCCACAUGUUGCAAAUGGAUUUACUGGGUUUUCUCCUGAAACAUUAGUAUGUAUAUAUGUAUUUUUCAUUUGUGGAGUUCAUUCCUAGAUAUGUUGAAUCAUCUGUGAACAUUUUCUUUGUUUUCAUUUAACUUGCCAGUUUUAUGUUGUCGGGGUCCCAAUGACGAAGGAAUUGUGGUUUCUGGCCAUGCCAUGUCUGAGAUGUAGUCUGAAAAGGUUGAUAUCAUAUACUCUUGGGGACAUAACUUGAACUUGAUUUGUAAUACAUCUCGCCAAUAUAUUAUCAAAUUCAAGUUCAAGUUCCAUCCCAUGGAGUGAGUUGCUAUCCCUUGGAGGACCAUGGAGCAUAAGGGGAACCAAUUCCAUGAGCAUUUGGUUAUGAAAGCAUCAGCAGCAAAUCCCAUUUUAGUAAUAGCUUUGCCUAGUACUUAGAUCAAGGAUCUUGUUACAAAUGUGAGGUUCACUGACUAUGAAGUGUAGGGCUGGAAGUGCAUGUUGGUAUUGUCCCUGGCUGAAGAAACACUUAUGAAGCUAUUGAAAUUUGGGUUAUCAGUGGAAGGCUUUCCUUUCUCAUGAGUAGGACCCCAUUUCGGUAUUUACAUCAGCUACAAACCCAGAUGUGACACCUUUUUCCCUUUUUGUUGAAUUGGAAAAUCAGCCUCUCAAGACUUCUAAGCGGCAGAAGCAAAAGUUCAACUAGAUGUUUAUCCUCCGGGAUACAUCCCAUAGUUUAGUAAGAUUGCUCGGUUUGUUUGAUAUCUCACUGUUGUUUGCAACAUUUCAAACUGAUCCCAUGUUAAAAUCUUGUUUUGUGAAUUUCUUUAGAGAACUGUUUUUGGAUAAUUUUCCUGAAAACACUGCCGCCCAUGUUCAGGAAACGAUUUUCGAUUAUGACUCUGAAUGAAAAAUAAACCAUAUCAAGAAAUUUCGAUUCCGGACUUUUCAUUUUUCUCUUCUCAGAAACAUGAAAAACAAAAGCGAAAAGCGGGUUUCUGAAAGCAAUAUAUACCAAUCUUGUUCACAAUUGAAAGAGUACUGGACUGGUGAUAGAAUAUUUGAGGAAGUUUUUGGUGGGGGAUGGUGAAGUCUCAACUAUUAAGACCUUUCCAAAGUUCAACAUCUCUGUUUAUGAAACGUGGACACAAGGAAACAAUUUUGGAGACCAAAGAAUGACCCACCAAAUAUCUGAUGCCUCACUCUAUCAUCAUUAGAUCUUAGAAGACUUUUGACAUUGAUUUGAGGGGCAUGAUUGUUUUAUGGAAUUCAGCACACAUAAUGCCCCCCCGCUCUCUCUCCGUGCUUUAUUUUAUUGCAACUUUGAAUAUUGAUACUGAAAUCAUGAGAA